rnacentral:rRNA from 1 species
CGCGUAGGCGGACUUAUAAGUCGAUUGUGAAAUCCCUGGGCUUAACCCGGGAACUUGCAGUCGAAACUGCAAGUCUUGAGUUCUCGAGAGGAUGGUGGAAUUCCUGGAGUAGUAGUGAAAUACGUAGAUAUCAGGAGGAACACCGGAGGCGAAGGCGGCCAUCUGGCGAGACACUGACGCUAAGGCGCGAAAGCGUGGGUGCAAACA